AACCAUGAGAAAAAUAUGAUCAACAUAAGAAAGCUGUACAUGCAGUCUGAUUAUUUUGUAAGACUGAGGCUU
ensembl:snoRNA